rnacentral:lncRNA from 1 species
GCCUGAAACCGUCAUAGAGUGAUCUAUUCCUUUUAGAAACUAUCACCACAGAGAUGUACUAUGAAUAUCUGUAUCUCUAUUAGCACAAUAAACUCACAGAACCUCUAGUUAAACCUUUCAGAAUUUUACACCUCAAUGCUCUUCAUCUUUGUAUUGUAUGUGACCAUUUUAACCUUAUGAAUUGAGAAUCACUUAUGAUAUUUUUUUAGUAGAGGAAACAUAAAGUGAAAAAAUUUUAUCCUGGUAUGUAUGAUGAGUUUAUUCAAAUAUGUUUCAAAUAUAACUGCUCUUUUAAAACAAGAAUGUGUCGAUAGUACAUGGAUGUCCCACUCACACUAUCAUUGUCCAUGUUCAGUGGACCGUGAAAUUUUGGUCAAAACUUUAAUUUGGCAUAAAAUUAGAAAGAUCAUAUCAUACAGAACAUGUGUACUAAGUUUCAAGUUGAUUGGACUUCAACUUCAUCAAAAACUACCUUGACCACAAAAUUUAACCAGAACUUUGCACUAUCAUAUUCUAUGUUCAGUGGACCUUGAAAUUGGGGUCAAAACUUAAAUUGGCAUUAAAAUUAGAAAGAUCACAUCAUGGGGAACAUGUGUACUAAGUUUCAAGUUGAUUGGACUUCAACUUCAUCAAAAACUACUUUGACCAAUUUUUUUUAACCUGUAGCUGGACAGACGAACUGACAAAUAAAUGAACCGAUGGAUGAACAUACGCACAGACCAGAAAACAUAAUGCCCCUCUACUGUCAUAGGUGGGGUAUAGUGGGGCAUAAAAAUAACAUCCUUUUUUAUAAUUAAAUCAGCACUGAAUGUUCUAAAGAAAGUGACCUGGCAAAAUGUGUGGUUAUAAAUUUUAUUGCACAUGACUAUUAUAAAAUAAAUCAAUAAAUUAUCAUUAUUUCAAACAAACCAUCUUCCUACAUAAACAAGUGCAACUACUUCAAAUAUGUCUCAUUUCUCAAUCUUUCAUUUCUGCUUGUUUUUAAUUUCACACAUUAGGUCAAAAGACAUCAUUAUAUUUUAAGCAAAGAAAAUGAAAUGUAUCUAUUGGUGUUUGAUGAAAAUUUGCAAGUAUAUUCAACAAUACUGUGAAAAACACUUUAAAAUUUCUACAAGACUUUAUAUCUUUAUCACAAUAAAUCGGAUUAUGAUCUUUUUUAACAUCAAGAUGAAAUUCUUAAGACAGCCAAUUUUGUUUCUUUUAGGGAACUGGAUACACCUUAUCGCUAUCAUCGGCUGACCCGGCCGCUUGAACUUUUGACGCAUACAACAAUCACUUUCCCAUUUUGGCGUCAGAUAUUUUGUUUUAUGACGUCAAAUUUUUACGGGAACCUGUGUGAUAUCCAGUAAUGGCGGGCAAAUAGCGAUAAGGUGUAUUGGAAUAGAUGUUUCCAGGGUGAAACUUAAAACCAUUCGUCCGUCAUUAUGAAUUUCGUUUCCAUUCUAGUUCAGUCAAGUGCACCUAAUAUUUCAGCAAAUAAAUAAAAAGAGCGAGUUCUCUAAUUCAACUGACUUCAUAAUAAUAUUUUCACCAUUUCAAUGGAAUUUCAAUUAUACAAUGUCAGAAUACGGAAUUCAGACAGAAUUCAAUGUACAUUUCAAACCAAAAUGUCACUAAUUUACAUUUUCAAAGUUGCUAAAAAAAUAAGUUGGUCCCAAUUCUUUAUUAACAAAAUAUUAAAUUAGAAAACAAUUGUUAAAUAUUUAAAUUAGAGCGAGCAUAUGUUUAUCAAGCAAACUAUUAUUUGAUUGUUAUUUCAUAUAUUAACUUUUAAAAAAUACAAAUAGAAAAGAACUAAGCAUACAAGGAUUCUACUUAUAACAGUAAAUUUAACAUACAUAUAAAAAGGGAGACAAUUUCAAUUCCUUUUCUGAUAAACACAAGACUGAGAUCUUUACAAUUUCAACAGUAAUGCAGUUUGUAUAGAAAUGCAGUAUAGAAGAGUGCAUCAAUUUGUCUGGUAACAAAACAGUUUCUAUUGUGCAAAAUCCCAUGACAUAGUUCUGUGCACCAUUGCUGACAAAUCAGGAAAAAAGUCAAGAAAAAGGUCUGUUACAUUUUCUUUAACAAAAUAAAUAUAUUACCAAAAACAAAUCUUAUAUCAACUAUCCCAAUAUUUGUUACCAAGAAGUUUACCAACAAUUUAUUAUCUCCCUUAUUCCUAAGGUACAUAAACACUAAAGGGAGAUAACUCAGUAAAAAUCAGCAAAACAUUUGAAUCAAUGUUAUAUUGGUUAGCAAAUAUCAAGCAUCUAAACUGCUAUAUAUUGUAUGAUAAUUUUUUCAAUAAAAUGUGUGGUUUAAGUUUUUGAAAUUUGAAUUUUUUUGUCAAAAUUAAGGUGGUACCCAACACUUAAACUAAAAUUAAUUUGGCUCGUUUAAUUUUCUUAAAAUGUUGACAAAGUAUUUACUUUGACCCUUUUACAAAAAUAUAAAAAUUUCAAAAAAUUUGAACCAACCGUUUUAUAAGAAAAAUUACACUGGUUAUAUAGCAGUUUGACAAACACUUAUUUUGAUCAUUGAGAAGCUUAAUAUUCCCUUAACUACACAACGUAAUUAAAACGUUUAGCUGAUUUUACAGAGUUAUCUCCCUGUAGUGUUAGGUACCACCUUAAACAAGCCAAAUUAAUUAGUAAAGUAUUUACUUCCACCAUAAUACACACUAAUAAGGUGAAAUCCUGAAAUCUGAUAUGAAAAAUUCUAAAGUCAUAAAUUUCACUAACAUGUUACAAUAAGGAAUGUUUUUAUUAAGUCUACAUUUCUAACCCUGCUUCUUCUUCUAACAAACAUAAAAACUUCGGAAUUCUUUGUGUUUCUUCAUUCUG